rnacentral:rRNA from 1 species
GACGAACGCUGGCGGCGUGCUUAACACAUGCAAGUCGAACGAAGUGGCGAACGGGUGAGUAACGCGUAAUCAACCUGCCCAUCAGAGGGGGACAACAGGUGAAAACGACUGCUAAUACCGCAUACUGAAGGAGGGGAUUGCGUCUGAUUAGCUAGGUGGAGUGGUAACGGCCCACCAAGGCGAUGAUCAGUAGCCGGUCUGAGAGGAUGAACCGCCACAGUGGGACUGCAGCACGGCCCAGACUCCUACGGGAGGCAGCAGUUGGGAAUCUUCCGCAAUGGACGAAAGUCUGACGGAGCAACGCCGCGUGAGGGAUGACGGCCUUCGGGUUGUAAAGCUCUGUUAAUCGGGACGCGGUACCGGAAUAGAAAGCCACGGCUAACUACGUGCCAGCAGCCGCGGUAAUUC